GCCUGGGUGGCUCAGUUGGUUGAGCAUCUGACUUCGGUUCAGGUCAUGAUCUCACUGAUCGUGGGUUCAAGCCCCACAUCGGGCU
rnacentral:tRNA from 1 species